ACUAAGCGUACACGGUGGAUGCCUUGGCAGUCAGAGGCGAUGAAGGACGUGCUAAUCUGCGAUAAGCGUCGGUAAGGUGAUAUGAACCGUUAUAACCGGCGAUUUCCGAAUGGGGAAACCCAGUGUGAUUCGUCACACUAUCAUUAACUGAAUCCAUAGGUUAAUGAGGCGAACCGGGGGAACUGAAACAUCUAAGUACCCCGAGGAAAAGAAAUCAACCGAGAUUCCCCCAGUAGCGGCGAGCGAACGGGGAGCAGCCCAGAGCCUGAAUCAGUAUGUGUGUUAGUGGAAGCGUCUGGAAAGGCGCGCGAUACAGGGUGACAGCCCCGUACACAAAAAUGCACAUGCUGUGAGCUCGAUGAGUAGGGCGGGACACGUGGUAUCCUGUCUGAAUAUGGGGGGACCAUCCUCCAAGGCUAAAUACUCCUGACUGACCGAUAGUGAACCAGUACCGUGAGGGAAAGGCGAAAAGAACCCCGGCGAGGGGAGUGAAAAAGAACCUGAAACCGUGUACGUACAAGCAGUGGGAGCACGCUUAGGCGUGUGACUGCGUACCUUUUGUAUAAUGGGUCAGCGACUUAUAUUCUGUAGCAAGGUUAACCGAAUAGGGGAGCCGAAGGGAAACCGAGUCUUAACUGGGCGUUAAGUUGCAGGGUAUAGACCCGAAACCCGGUGAUCUAGCCAUGGGCAGGUUGAAGGUUGGGUAACACUAACUGGAGGACCGAACCGACUAAUGUUGAAAAAUUAGCGGAUGACUUGUGGCUGGGGGUGAAAGGCCAAUCAAACCGGGAGAUAGCUGGUUCUCCCCGAAAGCUAUUUAGGUAGCGCCUCGUGAAUUCAUCUCCGGGGGUAGAGCACUGUUUCGGCAAGGGGGUCAUCCCGACUUACCAACCCGAUGCAAACUGCGAAUACCGGAGAAUGUUAUCACGGGAGACACACGGCGGGUGCUAACGUCCGUCGUGAAGAGGGAAACAACCCAGACCGCCAGCUAAGGUCCCAAAGUCAUGGUUAAGUGGGAAACGAUGUGGGAAGGCCCAGACAGCCAGGAUGUUGGCUUAGAAGCAGCCAUCAUUUAAAGAAAGCGUAAUAGCUCACUGGUCGAGUCGGCCUGCGCGGAAGAUGUAACGGGGCUAAACCAUGCACCGAAGCUGCGGCAGCGACGCUUAUGCGUUGUUGGGUAGGGGAGCGUUCUGUAAGCCUGUGAAGGUGUGCUGUGAGGCAUGCUGGAGGUAUCAGAAGUGCGAAUGCUGACAUAAGUAACGAUAAAGCGGGUGAAAAGCCCGCUCGCCGGAAGACCAAGGGUUCCUGUCCAACGUUAAUCGGGGCAGGGUGAGUCGACCCCUAAGGCGAGGCCGAAAGGCGUAGUCGAUGGGAAACAGGUUAAUAUUCCUGUACUUGGUGUUACUGCGAAGGGGGGACGGAGAAGGCUAUGUUGGCCGGGCGACGGUUGUCCCGGUUUAAGCGUGUAGGCUGGUUUUCCAGGCAAAUCCGGAAAAUCAAGGCUGAGGCGUGAUGACGAGGCACUACGGUGCUGAAGCAACAAAUGCCCUGCUUCCAGGAAAAGCCUCUAAGCAUCAGGUAACAUCAAAUCGUACCCCAAACCGACACAGGUGGUCAGGUAGAGAAUACCAAGGCGCUUGAGAGAACUCGGGUGAAGGAACUAGGCAAAAUGGUGCCGUAACUUCGGGAGAAGGCACGCUGAUAUGUAGGUGAAGUCCCUCGCGGAUGGAGCUGAAAUCAGUCGAAGAUACCAGCUGGCUGCAACUGUUUAUUAAAAACACAGCACUGUGCAAACACGAAAGUGGACGUAUACGGUGUGACGCCUGCCCGGUGCCGGAAGGUUAAUUGAUGGGGUCAGCGCAAGCGAAGCUCUUGAUCGAAGCCCCGGUAAACGGCGGCCGUAACUAUAACGGUCCUAAGGUAGCGAAAUUCCUUGUCGGGUAAGUUCCGACCUGCACGAAUGGCGUAAUGAUGGCCAGGCUGUCUCCACCCGAGACUCAGUGAAAUUGAACUCGCUGUGAAGAUGCAGUGUACCCGCGGCAAGACGGAAAGACCCCGUGAACCUUUACUAUAGCUUGACACUGAACAUUGAGCCUUGAUGUGUAGGAUAGGUGGGAGGCUUUGAAGUGUGGACGCCAGUCUGCAUGGAGCCGACCUUGAAAUACCACCCUUUAAUGUUUGAUGUUCUAACGUUGACCCGUAAUCCGGGUUGCGGACAGUGUCUGGUGGGUAGUUUGACUGGGGCGGUCUCCUCCUAAAGAGUAACGGAGGAGCACGAAGGUUGGCUAAUCCUGGUCGGACAUCAGGAGGUUAGUGCAAUGGCAUAAGCCAGCUUGACUGCGAGCGUGACGGCGCGAGCAGGUGCGAAAGCAGGUCAUAGUGAUCCGGUGGUUCUGAAUGGAAGGGCCAUCGCUCAACGGAUAAAAGGUACUCCGGGGAUAACAGGCUGAUACCGCCCAAGAGUUCAUAUCGACGGCGGUGUUUGGCACCUCGAUGUCGGCUCAUCACAUCCUGGGGCUGAAGUAGGUCCCAAGGGUAUGGCUGUUCGCCAUUUAAAGUGGUACGCGAGCUGGGUUUAGAACGUCGUGAGACAGUUCGGUCCCUAUCUGCCGUGGGCGCUGGAGAACUGAGGGGGGCUGCUCCUAGUACGAGAGGACCGGAGUGGACGCAUCACUGGUGUUCGGGUUGUCAUGCCAAUGGCACUGCCCGGUAGCUAAAUGCGGAAGAGAUAAGUGCUGAAAGCAUCUAAGCACGAAACUUGCCCCGAGAUGAGUUCUCCCUGACUCCUUGAGAGUCCUGAAGGAACGUUGAAGACGACGACGUUGAUAGGCCGGGUGUGUAAGCGCAGCGAUGCGUUGAGCUAACCGGUACUAAUGAACCGUGAGGCUUAACC
rnacentral:rRNA from 1 species